GGAAGAUUUAGAUUGUCUUGAGCAACUUGAAGAAGAUUUUGCUAAACUUGGAAAAGAACUUUGCAUUGAUGACAUGUAAAAUUGGAGGAAGGAAGAUUUCAUCAUGCAUCUAUCACUUGUUUGGAAUCACUAUGAAAAACUUGAAGAAAAUAAAGAUGGAUCGUGAAAGGUAAAAUGUAUUCAUUGUGGUUGUGUUUAUUACCAUUCACGCAAUACUGGGACUGCCUCCU